GUGGGGAAUAUUGGACAAUGGGCGAAAGCCUGAUCCAGCCAUGCCGCGUGUGUGAAGAAGGUCUUCGGAUUGUAAAGCACUUUAAGUUGGGAGGAAGGGCAUUAACCUAAUACGUUAGUGUUUUGACGUUACCAACAGAAUAAGCACCGGCUAACUUCGUGCCAGCAGCCGCGGUAAUACGAAGGGUGCAAGCGUUAAUCGGAAUUACUGGGCGUAAAGCGCGCGUAGGUGGUUCAGCAAGUUGAAGGUGAAAUCCCCGGGCUCAAACUGGGAAAUGCCUCCAAAACUACUGAGCUAGAGUACGGUAGAGGGUAGUGGAAUUUCCUGUGUAGCGGUGAAAUGCGUAGAUAUAGGAAGGAACACCAGUGGCGAAGGCGACUACCUGGACUGAUACUGACACUGAGGUGCGAAAGCGUGGGGAGCAAACAGGAUUAGAAACCCCGGUAGUCC
rnacentral:rRNA from 1 species